rnacentral:rRNA from 1 species
AUUGAACGCUGGCGGCAGGCCUAACACAUGCAAGUCGAACGAGUGGCGGACGGGUGAGUAAUGCAUGGGAAUCUGGCUUAUGGAGGGGGAUAACGACGGGAAACUGUCGCUAAUACCGCGUACCAUCGGAUGAGCCCAAGUGGGAUUAGGUAGUUGGUGGGGUAAUGGCCCACCAGGACGACGAUCCCUAGCUGGUCUGAGAGGCUGACCAGCCAACCCGGGACGGAGACACGGCCCGGACUCCUACGGGAGGCAGCAGUGGGGAAUAUUGCGCAAUGGGGGCAACCUGACGCAGCCAUGCCGCGUGAAUGAAGAAGGCCUUCGGGUUGUAAAGUUCUUUCGGUGACGAGGCGUUAAUCACAGAAGAAGCACCGGCUAACUCCGGGCCAGCAGCCGCGGUAAUUC